rnacentral:rRNA from 1 species
UACGGGGGGAGCAAGCGUUGUUCGGAUUUACUGGGCGUAAAGGGCGCGUAGGCGGUCGUGACAAGUCACUUGUGAAAUCUCCGGGCUUAACUCGGAACGGUCAAGUGAUACUGUCGGACUAGAGUACAGAAGGGGCAACUGGAAUUCUCGGUGUAGCGGUGAAAUGCGUAGAUAUCGAGAGGAACACCUGCGGCGAAGGCGGGUUGCUGGGCUGGAACUGACGCUGAGGAGCGAAAGCGUGGGUAGCAAACAGG